rnacentral:rRNA from 1 species
GAUGAACGCUGGCGGCGUGCUUAACACAUGCAAGUCGAACGGAAAGGCCGAAGCUUGCUUCGGUACUCGAGUGGCGAACGGGUGAGUAACACGUGGGUGAUCUGCCCUGUACUUCGGGAUAAGCUUGGGAAACUGGGUCUAAUACCGGAUAUGACAAUCUCUUGGAUGGGGUUGUGGAAAGCUUUUGCGGUAUGGGAUGAGCUCGCGGCCUAUCAGCUUGUUGGUGGGGUAAUGGCCUACCAAGGCGUCGACGGGUAGCCGGCCUGAGAGGGUGUACGGCCACAUUGGGACUGAGAGACGGCCCAGACUCCUACGGGAGGCAGCAGGGGGGAAUAUUGCACAAGGGGCGCAAGCCUGAUGCAGCGACGCCGCGUGGGGGAUGACGGCCUUCGGGUUGUAAACUCCUUUCGCAACCGACGAAGCUUUUUGUGACGGUAGGUUGAGAAGAAGCACCGGCUAACUACGUG